rnacentral:rRNA from 1 species
AGUGAACGCUGGCGGUGGGCCUAACACAUGCAAGUCGAACGGCAGCACAGUAAGAGCUUGCUCUUACGGGUGGCGAGUGGCGGACGGGUGAGGAAUACAUCGGAAUCUACUUUUUCGUGGGGGAUAACGUAGGGAAACUUACGCUAAUACCGCAUACGACCUACGGGUGAAAGCAGGGGAUCUUCGGACCUUGCGCGAUUGAAUGAGCCGAUGUCGGAUUAGCUAGUUGGCGGGGUAAAGGCCCACCAAGGCGACGAUCCGUAGCUGGUCUGAGAGGAUGACCAGCCACACUGGAACUGAGACACGGUCCAGACUCCUACGGGAGGCAGCAGUGGGGAAUAUUGGACAAUGGGCGCAAGCCUGAUCCAGCCAUACCGCGUGGGUGAAGAAGGCCUUCGGGUUGUAAAGCCCUUUUGUUGGGAAAGAAAAGCAGCAGGUUAAUACCCCGCUGUUCUGACGGUACCCAAAGAAUAAGCACCGGCUAACUUCGUG